rnacentral:rRNA from 1 species
UACGUAGGGUGCAAGCGUUGUCCGGAAUUAUUGGGCGUAAAGAGCUCGUAGGCGGUCUGUCGCGUCGGAUGUGAAAAUCCAGGGCUCAACCCUGGACCUGCAUUCGAUACGGGCAGACUAGAGUUCGGUAGGGGAGACUGGAAUUCCUGGUGUAGCGGUGAAAUGCGCAGAUAUCAGGAGGAACACCGGUAGCGAAGGCGGCACUCUGGGCCGUGACUGACGCUGAGGAGCGAAAGCGUGGGGAGCAAACAGG